GAUGAAGAACGUAGCGAAAUGCGAUAAGUAGUGUGAAUUGCAGAAUUCAGUGAAUCAUCGAAUCUUUGAACGCACAUUGCGCUUCCUGGUAUUCCGGGGAGCAUGCCCGUUUCAGAAUCACAAAAAACACCUCUCUUUCCUUCUGGACAGGGGAAUAGUGGAUGGUUUGUGCGUAAAAACGCAAUCAUCUUAAUGACAUUGUGCAAUGCUACCAACUACGUUUUGGUCGGCUUCCCAAAGUGCAACAAAUUCGUUAACGCUUUGGUAGCUGCCAGAACCGGUUGGCGAAAUGCGCUCUGCCAAGGGUAAAAUGAAAGGCUGUCCUCGCGUGCUGUCACCAGCUGGCUUGGCGCAACCUUUUGUUUUCUCUCUUUAAAACACCUGGUCUGAAAUCGGGCAAGAAAACCCGCUGAACUUAAGCAUAUCAAUAAGCGGAGGA
rnacentral:misc_RNA from 1 species